rnacentral:lncRNA from 1 species
GAUUCUGUGUUUCAACAAGCAAAACAACUGAUUCUGAGAAGGUGUAUUAUAGACAAGAAAUUGAGAAACACUAGCUUAUAGGGUUAGGUGGGAGUUAAUCAGGAUGACAGCAAACCUAGAAUGCACAGAAAGACUCUAAGCACUUGGACAAAGUGCUAUGCUUUUUACCUUUUGAUUGUGGUGCCUGGACAUAUUUCUGUGUCUCAAACAGUGCUUGAAUAAGUGGGAAGAAUUACAUGUUUUAGAAUUUUGAAAAUCUUACACUAGUUAGAAAACAUCUCCUACAUCACAUGUUCAGACAUGAGUUCAAUUCUUCACUAGGAUGGAAUUAUAUAAAGUGACUGCACUGUUGAUGAAAUUCUAAGCCAUGGUAUACAAAUCACAAUGUAAUCAAGUAAUUCUUUUAAGCCUAGAAGGAAGAACUCUCAGGGCCAUUGUUUCAAUAUUUACAGAUAUUUGCAAAUAUAGUGGAAGUGAGUUUUUUCUUUAACUCUAGAGGGCAGGACUCAUAUCAAUGAGUAGGAAUUAGAGGAACUUAAAUUUUGGCUCAGUACAAUAGCAUUUUCCAAAGAGUAGAGCUUUCUGAGGAGGAAAUGGACUGCCCAUUAAAGCCCUGAUUUUUCUCAGAAUGUGUUUAAGCAGAAUUUGGAUUAUCAUUUGUCUGAGAUGAUAUAGAGGAACUUGUACACCAUUUUUGAGACCGAAUAAGAUACUUUCUAAGCAUCAGUUGAUAUUUUUUCAAAAAAUGAAACUUUAAGAAUUUGAUUUUUUUUAAUUAAAAAUGCUCUGAUCAAAGUACUCUGUGAUCUCUUGCAACCUGUAAAAAUCAUAUGAACUAUUUACUCAAAUUUACUUGAAAUUGGAAAAAAACUAAAAUAUGGCUAAACAGUGUACUUUGGGGAAAAAUGACCUUAAAAUGAAAACUUUUUUUUUUAAAUUAGAAGUAGAAUUGACAAAGACAUUGAAUAACACCAUUGAUGGCAGGUGCAUUAGAUAAAAGCAGCAGGAGUCUGGCUGCAGUAAAGCUUCUAAUCCUUUUCACCACAGGGGCUUUCUCUGCUGUGUUCUCGAGUAAUCCCUGUUAACAAUCAGAUUGAUAGAAAUGAGUACCAUGGUUCUAAAUGCUAAUCCAUCUCCCUCUCUUUCCAGGGCUUCACUUAUCUCAGCACCAUAUAUCCCUGCUUAGCCAGCCUCUGUCGGCCUUCUCCAGAUUUUAAUCAGGUAUUGGCACUUGGCCCUUAGUGAUUUGGCAUCAGAGGAACUUUGCAUGCAAUGCUGAGGAGUUAAUUUAACCUUGAUCACAGUUUAUCAUAAUGUUUUGUUGUUGGCUUAGUUUAUCUCUGGGGAAAGAGUUUUUACUGAUAACUCUAUUCAUAAUUAUUAACAGAUUAUACCAAACAAAAAGUGCAUGUGGAGUGACACUAGCCCUCUUCUGCGAUACCUAACCAAGUUUUGGGAAAUUCAAAAAAGACAGCACAAUCUACCGUCACAGUUGUCCAUAGCAAUAUUUGCAAACAAAAAUAGGCUUUCUCAAUGUCAUAGAUUAUUAAUAUCUAACAUUUUGAUCCACAUUUUAUUUCCAUAUUUAGAUAUAUUCUUUGCACUAGGACAAUUUCCUCAUAAGAAUAUUAUUUCCAAAAUAUAUUUCAAACAUCUAGUCUAAGGUAAAAUAAUGUGGCUUUUUCUUUCACUUUAAAAAAAAUGUUUAAGGCAGGAUGGUUGGAAUAGAUAUUAACAAUUUAACCCUAAUUAGUAUGUUUAGUUUGGAAGAACUUGCUUUCCAACAAGAUCUCAGGAUUAUCAUGAUUUUAGUGAUCUUUCUCAAAAUCAUAAAAUCCAUUCGAGAAAUAAAACUUUAAAGAACUUUAAAAUAUGGUGAUUGCAUAAACCUCAUGUGCUUUGAAAUGGAAUAAUAAACUACUACUGAAAGGUAUAUCCAAAUUAGCAGCAAUAGAUCCAUAAUAUAUCCAUAAUUAUCGGCUAACUAGCUUUAGAAUGAGCAUUGUUUCAUUUUUAUUUUAUGUUUCCUAAGACUUCACACAAUUCCUGAAAGACUAUUUCAAUAAUGAUGUAAAUAACUUAAUAAUUUAUUCUGUCUGAGAAAUAGAAAAUACUAUAAAUAUUUAGCAAAUCAAGCUAAGAAAUAAUUAGUGGUAACUCUUAUACAUGGUUGUAAAGUGUUGAUCAAUAAAGUGCCUUAUGUAAAUAUAUGUGUGUGUGUAUAUAUAUCUAUAAUACACAUACAAUAUAAUAUAUAAAAGAUAUAUAUUAUUAUGCAUAUAUAUAAAGGAUAUAUGUGAUUAUUUAUAUAUACAUACAUAUUCUGCUUUAAUUUUACAUAUUCAACAUUGCUAAGAGAAAUUAUAAAUAUUAUGGCUUAUGCAAACAUUUACUAAUGAUGAAAACCAGAUUCUAUUUAUUUCAGUGCUUAAAAUUAAUUUAAAUUUUCUAUUAUUACAUUAUUAAAUAUGCCUCAUAUUUUAUAAAACUCUGAAUAUAUAAAUAAUUUUAAGAAUUAUAUUUUUUAAAAAUGAAGAUAUAGUUUUCUUAUUUAUAAGUAGUAGACCAAUUAAUUUAAAAUGUAUUUUCUCCUAAGAUUUUAAAAACUAACUAAAUAAAACAUUAUUAAAUCACUUCACUUGUGAUUUUAGACAAUGAUACAUUUUUUAAUUUAAUCAAAAAAUCAGAAUUCAGGGCAGAGCUAAUUCCUUCUCUAAUAAGGUAAGCUCAUUUUAAAAGGAUUUUUAUCAAGCAUUUAAGAAAAAUAAAAUUUUGAUUAAAAUAUAUUGAGUUUUGUUGCAAUGACUCAAAAAGACAAAUUCAGAUUUCUAAAACUUACUUAGAAAAAAUCUGAAUUACUUCUUUAAUGUUUUGAAGUAUAUUAUGAAAAGAGUACUUAUUUUAUAAAAUUAUAAGAUAAUGAAAAUAUUUCUAUUAUUUCCUUACUUUUGAAAGGUGUAUAUACAUAUCGAGCAGUGAUCAUUGCUCAUACAACCAGGACAGCAUAAGCGCAGGGUCAAUUUUUUUUUUAAGAUAAAAUAUUGUUUUGAAACCCAGAGAACAAGGAAAGUGAAACUCAGAUUGGCAUUUGAAUUCAGAUUGGCAUUUGAACCCACUGUCUUUUGAUUAAAAUCACACACCUAGACUCUGGCCUCAACUGAAGCUCAGCACAGAAUGGAAUCCAGCAGGAAGCUAAAUGACAGGUAAGAAGUAGAUUUAAUGAGAGAGAUAGACAGAGUGUGGGCCAUCUCAGAAGGUGAGAGAAAAGACCCCAAACAUGAGAUGGUUAGUGUAUAUGAGCUGGUUGAUUUCAUAGGCUAACAAAUAGGAGGAUUAUUCUAGCUAUUUUAAGGAAAAGUCAGGAAAUUUCAGGAACUGGUCUACUGUCCACUUUUUGGCCUUUUAUGGUCAGCCUUGGAACUGUCAUGGUGCCUGUGAUUGUGUCAUUUAGAUGGUAAUGUGUUACAGUGAGCAUAAAAUGAGACUCAAGUUCCACUGGAAGUUGAAAUCUCUGCCAUUUUAAGCCUAGUCAAUUCUAACCAGUAUCCUCAAUGGCUAUGUCCUUCUCUUAAAGGUUGUGCCCUGCCCCCUUUCCUCCUGUUUCAGAAGUAACUAAAUGAAAAAGAGAGGUAAAGUUUGCUUUUGAAGAUAAGGAGUACAGCUGAUUCUCUAAGAUUAGAGGAAAAGAAGGGGUAUGUUUGUGAUUAACUUAUACAUGAAAUAAGGAAAACUGGGAGUGGAGGGUGAUAUUUUAUAACUUUAGUUGUUUUAACAAACUUGGCAGCUCUAUUUCCAAAAGAGCAUACUAGAUUUUUGGAGUACACUAGUACUAAUGGGAACAUUUCUCUUCUGCUCCUAUCCAUAGCCAUUUGUGGAUAAAUAGUGUAUCAGAUGAAGGAUAAUGUGAGUGCUAGAUGAGGUGGAGAUGGAAAUAAAAAGCUCACAAAUAGCCCUCAUAAAAACAAAAGCAAUAAUGCAAACCAGAGACAAAGUGAAGGAUGUAACCUGAAUUAGACAGUUCCACCACAGAAAAAGAUUCUCCAAAACACUUCUUUUUCUUACCAGCAUCAGAAAAAAAAUUACUUAUUUUUGAUUUCCACAAACAAGAGAUGAAAAAGAAAAAAUGUGUUUUCUGAUUUAAAAGUCUUCAGGGUAGAAAACACAAUAGAAAAUAGCAGAUCAUAUAGUUCUAUGGGCCUGUCUUUCCACAAAAAAAUUAAAAAUCCAGAAAAUGUUCUAUGAAUAAAUUUUGUCAGAACUCUAGAAAGCAGUCAAAGUUUACAGGAACCAAAAUAAUGCUGAAUUAACACAAAGGCAACUUACAGAUAGUAGGGAAGCUUUGUGAUGUUUCUGGUAGUCCUGCCCAAACCCCUUCCCUGGCUCAGUGUAGUCUUUAGGAUGGAAGCAUGAGUUCCCUGUGUGGGAUGUUGGUCACUGGUUCUGAAGGGAGCAGAGUAGACCCUGUGUUCAAUGAAUUGUGUUUGUCUGGUCUGUUCUGUCCAGCGACUACUUAAAGGGGUGAUACAAGGAGCUUGUCUUUGUUUCAACUAACUAAGAACCCAGAAAAGUUCUGAGUUAGAGGUAAGAAUUCCCUGAAAACAAGGUAAAACAAAAAGCCAACAUGUAGCUGCCUGAGGCAAAAUAUUUCAGAUGAGGUGAACAAGGGCAGUGACUGCCUGGGAUGGACACUUGGGAAGAAAUUGUCUUUGGCAAACUAAGAACUCAAAAGCACUUAUGUAUGCAGGGGAAUUUACAAAGCCACAUGCAAUCCCCAAGUAGGACACAUGUUCAGAAAAGACCAGAA